rnacentral:rRNA from 1 species
GAGUUUGAUCAUGGCUCAGAACGAACGCUGGCGGCAGGCUUAACACAUGCAAGUCGAACGCCCCGCAAGGGGGAGUGGGCAGACGGGUGAGUAACGCGUGGGAAUCUACCCAGUUCUACGGAACAACUGAGGGAAACUUCAGCUAAUACCGUAUACGCCCUACGGGGGAAAGAUUUAUCGGAAUUGGAUGAGCCCGCGUUGGAUUAGCUAGUUGGUGAGGUAACGGCUCACCAAGGCGACGAUCCAUAGCUGGUCUGAGAGGAUGAUCAGCCACACUGGGACUGAGACACGGCCCAGACUCCUACGGGAGGCAGGCAGUGGGGAAUAUUGGACAAUGGGCGCAAGCCUGAUCCAGCCAUGCCGCGUGAGUGAUGAAGGCCUUAGGGUUGUAAA